rnacentral:rRNA from 1 species
GACGGGGGGGCAAGUGUUCUUCGGAAUGACUGGGCGUAAAGGGCACGUAGGCGUGAAUCGGGUUGAAAGUUGAAAGUCGCCAAAAGUGGCGGAAUGCUCUCGAAACCAAUUCACUUGAGUGAGACAGAGGAGAGUGGAAUUUCGGUGUGUAGGGGUGAAAUCCGUAAAUAUACGAAGGAACGCCAAACAGCGAAGGCAGCUCUCUGGGUCCCUGAC